CAGGCAUUGCUAUCAGUGCAGUUGGGCUAUUGAGCCCAGCAUCUGUUUUUGGGGAAAAGGCCGUAAUUUGCAGCUAAGCACCACAGAGCUCAUCACUCCCUGCUUCCGAACCAAAGUCCCACCAGGAAGAAGGAGAGAAAAAAGGAAAAGGAAGAAAACUUGUGGGUAAAGAUAAAAAAACCCAAACCUAAAAUAAACAAGCAAAAAACAAACUUAAAAAGAAGAAAUGUAAGAAGAAAGCAAACAAAAGAAGUGAUACAAAAUGCCUAGAAAACUCCUGAGCAAAACACAGUGCCAUUGGGUCAUAUUUCCCCGGAAAUCCAGAGUCUUUGGCAGUGAUGUUUGAAUUUGGAGGGACACUUGUGUUUCCCAUUACUUGCCAAGAGCCUCACACCUGCUGCAGAGGGUACCAGUCCUGCUUGUCAGAUUCUGAGGAGGAGGAACCUUCUUCCUGGUAGUACAGGAGGUGCCAGAAGCAGAUGUUUUGAAAGUUGCAGAGAAGAAUCAGUGUUUAGUACAGAAGGUAGAAAAGCA